UGGGGAAUAUUGCACAAUGGGCGCAAGCCUGAUGCAGCCAUGCCGCGUGUAUGAAGAAGGCCUUCGGGUUGUAAAGUACUUUCAGCGGGGAGGAAGGGAGUAAAGUUAAUACCUUUGCUCAUUGACGUUACCCGCAGAAGAAGCACCGGCUAACUCCGUGCCAGCAGCCGCGGUAAUACGGAGGGUGCAAGCGUUAAUCGGAAUUACUGGGCGUAAAGCGCACGCAGGCGGUUUGUUAAGUCAGAUGUGAAAUCCCCGGGCUCAACCUGGGAACUGCAUCUGAUACUGGCAAGCUUGAGUCUCGUAGAGGGGGGUAGAAUUACAGGUGUAGCGGUGACAUGCGUAGAGAUCUGGAGGAAUACCGGUGGCGAAGGCGGCCCCCUGGACGAAGACUGACGCUCAGGUGCGAAAGCGUGGGGAGCAAACAGG
rnacentral:rRNA from 1 species